GUCACGGGUCGAAUAAAAGGUAGUUCGCUGGGUAUAUGUCUCUAUGUCCUUUGCCCAGAGGUGCAGGUUCGAAUCCAGCUCGUGACA
rnacentral:tRNA from 1 species